rnacentral:rRNA from 1 species
GACGAACGCUGGCGGCGUGCCUAAUACAUGCAAGUAGAACGCACAGUUUAUACCGUAGCUUGCUACACCAUAGACUGUGAGUUGCGAACGGGUGAGUAACGCGUAGGUAACCUGCCUGGUAGCGGGGGAUAACUAUUGGAAACGAUAGCUAAUACCGCAUAAUAUUAAUUAUUGCAUGAUAAUUAAUUGAAAGGUGCAAUUGCACCACUACCAGAUGGACUUGCGUUGUAUUAGCUAGUAGGUGAGGUAACGGCUCACCUAGGCGACGAUACAUAGCCGACCGGAGAGGGUGAGCGGCCACACUGGGACUGGGACACGGCCCAUACUCCUACGGGAGGCAGCAGUAGGGAAUCUUCGGCAAUGGACGAAAGUCUGACCGAGCAACGCCGCGUGAGUGAAGAAGGUUUUCGGAUCGUAAAGCUCUGUUGUAAGAGAAGAACGGGUGUGAGAGUGGAAAGUUCACACUGUGACGGUAUCUUACCAGAAAGGGACGGCUAACUACGUG